rnacentral:rRNA from 1 species
GGGUGACUGCGUACCUUUUGUAUAAUGGGUCAGCGACUUAUAUUCUGUAGCAAGGUUAACCGAAUAGGGGAGCCGCAGGGAAACCGAGUCUUAACUGGGCGUUAAGUUGCAGGGUAUAGACCCGAAACCCGGUGAUCUAGCCAUGGGCAGGUUGAAGGUUGGGUAACACUAACUGGAGGACCGAACCGACUAAUGUUGAAAAAUUAGCGGAUGACUUGUGGCUGGGGGUGAAAGGCCAAUCAAACCGGGAGAUAGCUGGUUCUCCCCGAAAGCUAUUUAGGUAGCGCCUCGUGAACUCAUCUUCGGGGGUAGAGCACUGUUUCGGCUAGGGGGUCAUCCCGACUUACCAACCCGAUGCAAACUACGAAUACCGAAGAAUGUUAUCACGGGAGACACACGGCGGGUGCUAACGUCCGUCGUGAAGAGGGAAACAACCCAGACCGCCAGCUAAGGUCCCAAAGUCAUGGUUAAGUGGGAAACGAUGUGGGAAGGCCCAGACAGCCAGGAUGUUGGCUUAGAAGCAGCCAUCAUUUAAAGAAAGCGUAAUAGCUCACUGGUCGAGUCGGCCUGCGCGGAAGAUGUAACGGGGCUAAACCAUGCACCGAAGCUGCGGCAGCGACGCUUAUGCGUUGUUGGGUAGGGGAGCGUUCUGUAAGCCGUUGAAGGUGGCCUGUGAGGGUUGCUGGAGGUAUCAGAAGUGCGAAUGCUGACAUAAGUAACGAUAAUGCGGGUGAAAAACCCGCACGCCGGAAGACCAAGGGUUCCUGUCCAACGUUAAUCGGGGCAGGGUGAGUCGACCCCUAAGGCGAGGCCGAAAGGCGUAGUCGAUGGGAAACAGGUUAAUAUUCCUGUACUUGGUGUUACUGCGAAGGGGGGACGGAGAAGGCUAUGUUGGCCGGGCGACGGUUGUCCCGGUUUAAGCAUGUAGGCGGAUGUUCCAGGUAAAUCCGGAACGU